rnacentral:rRNA from 1 species
CCUACGGGAGGCAGCAGUGAGGAAUAUUGGUCAAUGGGCGCGAGCCUGAACCAGCCAAGUAGCGUGAAGGAUGACUGCCCUACGGGUUGUAAACUUCUUUUAUAAAGGAAUAAAGUGAGGCACGUGUGCCUUUUUGUAUGUACUUUAUGAAUAAGGAUCGGCUAACUCCGUGCCAGCAGCCGCGGUAAUACGGAGGAUCCGAGCGUUAUCCGGAUUUAUUGGGUUUAAAGGGAGCGUAGAUGGCAUAAUAAGUAGCUAGUGAAAUCUGGUGGCUCAACCAUUCAGACUAUUAGCUAAACUGUUAAGCUCGAGACCGUUAGGGGUAACUGGAAUUUCUAGUGUAGGAGUGAAAUCCGUAGAUAUUAGAAGGAACACCAAUAGCGUAGGCAGGUUGCUGGGACGGUUCUGACACUAAGGCACGAAAGCGUAGGGAGCAAACGGGAUUAGAUACCCGGGUAGUC